rnacentral:lncRNA from 1 species
ACAAGAGGCUGUCAUAACGACAGCUAACCGGAUUUAUUAACAUUUAUUUGUGUCUUGGCAAUAUCACAAGAACCAUUACUGAUGAAUGGUGAAAGUGAAAAUCGUCAAUAUCAAAUUUGACCUCCAUUUUGUCAUCAGUAUCAACAUAUUGAAAUUUGAAAAGCUUAGAUUGAAUGGUUCAUGAGUAAAUGCAACAACGUGAAUGGAAACGCCAUUUUACGAUCUUUCAAGAACCAUAACUCCUGAACGGUAAAAGUCAAAAUCGCCAUUAUUGAAUUUGACCUUCGUAUAGUUGUCAGUAAUAACAUAUUAAAAUUUUAAAAGCUUUGGUUGAACGGUUCAUGAGUUAAUGCACGGACAACAUUUGAUUGCCGCCCGCCCGCCCACC